GCGACGCGCGUCUGUGCAUGGGCGUGACGCGCGUGCGUGGGCGUAACGCGCGUGCGUACGUGGGAAGGUCGUGCAUGCGUGCGUGGUCAUGACGUGCGUGUGCGUGCGUGCGUGUGGAGUCCCUUUCUGGAAUGAUUGCUUGAGUACAGGGUGUGCCGGGUCAGAGGACUCCUCCAGCAUUUGUCCUUUGUGACCUGCUUACUGCGCUCUCAGUACCUCUGUGAGUAUGCUGCCUGGACCCCAAUCCCACCGUUCAGAUUCCAGCCUCGGUCGGAGGAUUUGCUUCUGUGCUGCGGGCGAGCUGGGGCUGUUGGGAAUGAACAGGGCGACAUGGCAGACAGACUCUGCAGGACUGUUCCACAGGGACUCUGUCAUCCUGACAUGCCACCGAUCACAAUGCUGGUUCCCUCCAUUGAAAGCAUAACACUGAUUGGACCUGGUGAGAUGGAAAUGACAGCUGCCUAGAAACCCUGUGAAGAUAACAUGAGUGUGAGAGAGUGACAGGUAAACUCUGCCCCUGUCUUCCCCUGGGUUCUGAGGCAGAAGUUUUCGGUGCUUCUCUGGCAUUAGGGAGUAUAGUCCCAGGGAGAGGAAGUGAAGGAAAGGGGAGUGAGGAGGGGAAGGAGGAGGGGCCAAUAAGAUGCAUUAAAUGAUAGAUGUCUGUGUUGUGAGACCAUCUUUUUCUUUUUUUUUUUUUAAUGUCUAUUUAUUUUUGAGAGACAGAGAGAGACAGAGCCCGAGCAGGGGAGGGGCAGGGAGAGGGAGAUCAAAUCCGAAGCAGGCUCCAGGUUCUGAGCUGUCAGCACAGAGCCUGACGUGGGGCUCGAACCCAUGAACCGUGAGAUCAUGACCUGAGCCAAAGUCGGUCUCUCAACCGACUGAGCCACCCAGGUGCCCCUGAGACAAUCUUCUGAGAUGCCUUAUAAAUGACUUUCUCGGGACAGUGUAUCUGGGAGAGGUAGGGAGAAACGUGUUUGUUGGCUUCCUCUGGCAACAUGUUUGCUUCUCAGGGUGUUAUUUCCACAUCACUUGCAGGCUGCUUAUGCUGAGUGGAUCACACCAUGUGCCAGCACCAAUAGGGAGCCCUGGGGCAGGAAGUGAGAGGUGCUCCGCAUGGGCAUGGGGCACUGGACAGGGACCCUGGAUGCCUAAGUGUUCCCACCAAGUGGGAAAGGGAGCUGACAUUUGUAUUCACCAGUUCCUGCUGGUCACUGGUUAAGAUUUUCUUGGUCGGCGUUAAUUCCCCAGCACUUCAGGUCUGUGUGGGUAGGGCGGGCUCCAGUGGCCAGAGAAAGCACUCAGGUAAAGGGAAGCAGGUGCUGGCAGUGGUGGCCCUUGCCUGUAGUGCACCUGGAUGACAAAGGCAAGAGGGGACAGGGACCCGGCGCUGACAGUGGCCCCAAAGAGGGUCUGACACACUCUCCCUCAUCGUCCUCUUCCUUUUGGGACUGUCAGAUUUUCAAAUUCAUCUCUUUCUCUUAUGCAGCCCUUGGCUCCCCUUUGCACAUCCAAACACAUCAAGGUGUUCAUCAGAACAAGGUUCCUCCCUGGAAAGCAUUGGUGGGCUUAAACUGUCAUUGUUUUCUCUUGAUUACCCGAAAGGCAGCCCUCUUUAGUUACUCUAGUAAAUUCUUUUCUAGCCAGCUAGCUAAGUUUAUUCCUCUUUUUCUGCUCGUGGAAUCAGAUGAGGAUGCAAGCUUUGGGUGCCUGUGUGUGUUCUGUCACACAGCUCCACAAGGAAGCUGCUCACUGAAGAGACAGGUUCAGGAAGACGUGUGCUAUGUGCUUGGUAACUUCUUCCCAAACCAAAAUUUGGGAUGCUUCUCACUGAUUUUUGUACCCCUUCCAGCUGCUGGAGACAGUCUGGAGAAUGUUUUCGGAGACUGUGUUUUCUAGGACACUUGGGUGGAUUAUGGGAAAAUGGAACAGCACGGUCAUUUAGCUGAGUCCUGGAAGAGCCGGGACAUAAGAUCCCCACGUCUCCACACGUCCUAAUCUCUCAGAUUGUACUGAAGCUGUGGUAAACAAUUUAAGACCUGCUUGGGUAUGACAUGAGGCUUCCUCUUGGCUAUUUCUACCACUUCAUAUUGAAUGGAAGGAAAUUGCUGAAACCCUCAAAACACAGUCUGGCAGGAGGCAAAAUGCCUUGCUUGGCAUCCUGCCCCCACCCCUCCCACACCUGCAGCUGGGACCAUUUGGAUGCCCUGUACCCUCCCUGUCUUCCUUCAGCCUGAGCCCACAGUUCCCAGCUCUGGGCCUAACUCCAAAACGAGAGCCCUACUGCCUACGAACAUGGGCCGCCUUUCCAGGUGAAGUAGAUACAAAAUGAACAAUAUUUGGGGAGCCUGGGUGGCUCAGACGGUUGAGCAUCCGUCUUCAGCUCAGGUCAUGAUCUCUUGGUUCGUGAGUUUGAGCCCCUCAUUAGGCUCUAUGCUGGCAGCUUAGAUCCUGGAGCCUGCUUUGGGUUCUGUGUCUCCCUCUCUCUCUCUCUGAC